GACGAACGCUGGCGGCGUGCUUAACACAUGCAAGUCGAACGGAAAGGCCCUGCUUGCAGGUUCCUCGAGUGGCGAACGGGUGAGUAACACGUGGGUGAUCUGCCCUGCACUUCGGGGUAAGCCUGGGAAACUGGGUCGAAUACCGGACAGGAGACAUUUGUAGGGUGAUGGUGGGGAAGCUUUUUCGGUGUAGGAUGAGCUCGCGGCCUAUCAGCUUGAUGGUGGGGUAAUGGCCUACCAAGGCGUCGACGGGUAGCCGGCCUGAGAGGGUGGACGGCCACCCUGGGACUGAGGUACGGCCCAGACUCCGACGGGAGGAAGCAGUGCGGAAGAUUGCACAAUCGGCGCAAGCCUGAUGCAGCGACGCCGCGUGGGGGAUGACGGCCUUCGCGUUGUAAACUCCUGUCGCUAGGGACCAAGCUUUUUGUGACGGUACCUAGAGAAGAAGCACCGGCUAACUACGUG
rnacentral:rRNA from 1 species